UUAUAACCAAUGAAAAUGAUGCUCAUACGGAAAUAGCAUCUUGUGAUUUUUUUGGUGGUGGAGGCUCUUGUGAUUUUUAAGGCCACACAAAUAUGGCAAACUCACACCGCAGUGGAAUGUUUAAAAGAUCAAGUGAUGGUGCAAGAGUUGUUAUUGGUACUAUCAUGGGAGUUGUCUUUGGAUUUUUUAUCGGCAUGUCCUUUCCAUCUGUUUCUCUAAAUAAGCCAUCACUGAUAUACAUGGAUCCACCACAAGCAGAAGUCUUGAAGACAAUGAACCAAGCAAUGUUCCUAGGAUAUAUGUUUCAACGAAU